GAUGGACUCGCGUCUGAUUAGUUAGUUGGUGAGUUAAUGGCUCACCAAGGCGACGAUCAGUAGCCGACCUGAGAGGGUGACCGGCCACAUUGGGACUGAGACACGGCCCAAACUCCUACGGGAGGCAGCAGUGGGGAAUAUUGCACAAUGGGGGAAACCCUGAUGCAGCGACGCCGCGUGAAGGAUGAAGUAUUUCGGUAUGUAAACUUCUAUCAGCAGGGAAGAAAAUGACGGUACCUGACUAAGAAGCCCCGGCUAAUUACGUGCCAGCAGCCGCGGUAAUACGUAAGGGGCAAGCGUUAUCCGGAUUUACUGGGUGUAAAGGGAGCGUAGACGGCUGUGUAAGUCAGAUGUGAAAACUUGGGGCUCAACCCCAAGAGUGCAUUUGAAACUAUGCAGCUAGAGUGUCGGAGAGGUAAGUGGAAUUCCUAGUGUAGCGGUGAAAUGCGUAGAUAUUAGGAGGAACACCAGUGGCGAAGGCGACUUACUGGACGAUGACUGACGUUGAGGCUCGAAAGCGUGGGGAGCAAACAGGAUUAGAUACCCUGGUAGUCCACGCC
rnacentral:rRNA from 1 species